UUCGACUGUUUACCAAAAACAUAGCCAUUAGAAAAUAAUAAUAAUGGUGAGACCUGCUCCAUGAUUUCAAAAUAAAAUAAAUUAAAUUAAAUUAAAUAGCUGCGGUAAUCAUGACCGUACUAAGGUAGCAUAAUAAAUCGUCUAUUAAUUGUAGAAUAGAAUGAAGGUUAAACGAAAAUUCAACUGUCUCAAAAAAUAACUUUGUGAAAAUUAAAUGUGUGCUAAUAUUCACACUAAAAUAGUAAGACGAUAAGACCCUGCAAACUUUACCAAAAAUUUAUAAUAAAAAUGAACCUGUAAAUCCUAAGUUUCGUUGGGGCAACGACCUUAUAACAGUAACUAAGGUUAAAAUAAUCACUCAAUAAAAGAUAAUAAAUCGAAAAAGAUAACACCCGUUAAAAAAACCUUAACAAUUAACGCAAUAAAAUAAAAGUCUGCAGGGAUAACAGCGUAAUAUUAUU
rnacentral:rRNA from 1 species